rnacentral:lncRNA from 1 species
UUAGCCCAGCCUGUCUCAAAACGUCAUAGAAUUCGAAAGCUCCGGGGACCGAGAACACCUCGUCUAGGUACUUCCCUUCAAGGAUUGGACGCUCAAAGAAAUGUGCAGCAAACCUUUCGUAUUGGUCGUCGUUAGAGAAGAGUUGAUUACAUGUUAGUGGUGGAGACGGCGGAGGGGAAGGUGAUGGGCGACUUCGAGAUCCCCCUUUUGAAGAGGAAGCCCGCCGUUUCUUCUGUGAGGAUUCCGCCAUUAGUGGUUUUUAGGGUUUUUGAAAUUUGCUUAUGGAGAAGAGGAAUGGACGUUUGGAAUAAAAUGCACUGAUGAAAGAUUUAUUUUUCCAAGUAGGUUAUAAGCACUAUUAAAGGGGUAGUGGGUGAGGUGGGUAACGGUUACAAUUGAUGGUGGUGGAAGUUACGAAACAUUGAUGGAGGUCAUUCAAUGUGUCUGCAGCGCCUUUACAUAUGUGUGCUGUCAUUGUGCCGUAAUCGAUUACAACUGACAAUGUAAUCGAUUACAUGAGCUGUUAUUUACCCUACGAACAUGUUAUUC